UGGAUUGCCUGUAGAUGGACGGGAAGGAUGAAGUGAGUGAUGAUGACACAUAUCACUGGAGGAAACCCACAGCAUCAUAGCCAGACCGGUCCCAUGAUGCUCCCUGAAUCCACCUGUCAAGCCCAGACUGACGACCCAGGAGACAAGGGAGCGAGAGAGCGGUACUCGUUCUUAUAACCUCUGGCACAGUUUUACAGACGUAAACAGCUCCCUUACUUAAGAACAAAAAAAAAAUAGGGCAACACAGAAAUACUCCACAGACAUCAAAAAUACUGCAGAAGAUCCUCCCCUCCUGGUCAGCGUCAAAUCUAGGACAUGGUGGAGAACUUAUAAAGGACUCCUGCCAUAAAACGCGUUAAUGUUUGAUACACACUGUAUCACACUUACGACAGAAGAAUAUUACACAUCGGUGAGUGAAAAUAAUAUUUCAUUAUGUAAAAUUGGUUUAAUUUUAAGCUGUAUUUAUUUAUUACCAUUAACAUAAUAAUAAUAAUGCAUGCAUCUCGUCUACAUUUAUGUUCACCUAAAGAGGGGGUUUACUCCUUUUCACAAUUCAUUUUGGAUGAAUGAGUGUGUAUGAGUGGAAU